CUCAAAUGGAAAGCAGAGUCCAAGUUGGUACUCAUGACAUGUUUGUACUCCUCGAGUGUGACCUUUAUCGCUGGAUUUAUGUAGCCUAUCGCUGCAUUAUUGAUCUAUAAAAGAGAGCAAAACAUCUUUGAAAGUUGAAACUUCAAAGACGACCAUGAAACUCACCAGAAUGUUGAGCUUUCCGUCGAAGAUGGAUCGAGCUUUGUCCAUUAGAUUCUCUCUCUCCACCGGCGACGAGACAUCGCAGACGGACCCCGUGACGGUGAAGUUCAUGGCCUCCCAUCGCUGCAAACACUUGUUGAGCUCUUGUUCGCUCCGACAGCAGAUGAUGGCAUGGGAACUGUACAAUACCCGAUUCCUUUGCUGCCUCCGGUGACCAAAGCUGUUGUUCCGCGAAGAGACCACCUGUCGUCUGUGAUGUUAGGCCUGCAACCAUUCCCGGCCUCCAUGGCCUUCUUCUCCCUUUCGGUCGACAACCUCAGCCGUGAAUUCCUUGACCGAGAACCGUGUCUGAAGAGAUCAAGCCAAGCCAUGUUCACGUGACUCAUCCCUUCUGGUUGAUUACCGUGUAGCUGACGUGAAGAAUCUCAUAUUUUGCUGGGUGGUUCAAGUGGAUCAUAUGGAAUUCUAUUUGCAGUAACGAAGAGGUGUGCUACGUUCCAAUGGUAUGGGUCAUUUCGCUUCCCUUUUCUACGUCGCCUUAUCGAAUCAACAGCACAUGUGCUUAGGAUCAUGUGGCGCAACCAACACAAAUAAUUCAGCAAGACCAGGAAAAUAUCUUUUGUCAGCGAUGAUGUCGGCAGAAAUGGAAGACUUCGCCUUCAAGAAUCUGUCAUUGCUCAGCCACCAAUGGUCCUUCGCAGCGGCAGCGGCAGCGCUGCAGCAGCACGAGGAGUUGUGGCCAGGUGCAAUGAAGCAUCUGUAUGCCUCUAAAAUGGUGUGGAAUCCAACCCACCAUUAACCCGGCCGAAGCUUUCUUUUAAUGGAUCAUAAGGACGUGGAAAUUAGAUGAGAAGGUGAUGGAAGGUUUCAUCUACUAUUUAAUCGAUCAAUUUUUUCUUCUUUC